UCCCAAUAUUUAUAGCAGAAAUCGCGCCAAAAAUCUCCAUGGAGGGCUUACAACACUAAAUCAGUUUCAUUUUGUAAUAGGAACAAUUAUAAGUUGGAGGACACUUAGGGCCUGCUUUGGUUGCUCUUUACAAUCCACUUCAACUUGCAGCUUCAGCCUUUUUAUCAAGAGUUUUCCUCGGAUACCCUAUUUAUUUGGGAAGUUGCCAGACUUAUGAAGGUGGUAUAUCUGGGGAACCUGGUUAUGAAGCUCAUGGUGGAUACUGAGUUUGCCAAAGCAUGGAGACAACAACUCAAAGAAGCCUG